UCCACUAUGGCCAAGACCAAAGAGAUGUGAAAGGACACCAGAAACAACAUUGUAGACCUGCAUCAGGCUGGGAAGACUGAAUCUACAAUAGGUGACACACAGCCAAGUCUCCAGCAAGUCCCGAAGGUGACAGGAGUGAUGCUGGCUGACAACUUAUACUUAAAAGGAGAACAUUGAGAGCUUGUACCUUCAGCACCACUCAAAAAGAUUGCAACUUGUGUCUUACCAUCCCCUCCUUUUUUCCCUCUUGAUGGAAAAAGGUCUUCAUAUUGCUCAUUUUGCCCAAAGAGUCUCCCAGCUGGUGCAUGGAUACAAACCAGGAACCCUCUCAUCACAAUGUUUC